rnacentral:misc_RNA from 1 species
GAUGAAGAACGCAGCGAAAUGCGAUAAGUAGUGUGAAUUGCAGAAUUCAGUGAAUCAUCGAAUCUUUGAACGCACAUUGCGGCCAUAGGUAUUCCUUUGGCCAUGCCUGUUCGAGCGUCAUUUACACCCUCAAGCCUAGCUUGGUGUUGGGCGCCUGUCCCGCCGUUUUCGCGCGCGGACUCGCCUCAAAGUCAUUGGCGGCGGUCGUGCCGGCCCCCUCGCGCAGCACAUUUGCGCUUCUCGGAGGCCCGGCGGAUCCGCGCUCCAGCAAGACCUUUCACGACUUGACCUCGAAUCAGGUAGGGAUACCCGCUGAACUUAAGCAUAUCAAUAAGCGGAGGA